GUUGCGACACAGGUCGUUUUAAUCACGACUUAUGAGUGACAAUAUACUCGAUGUCGAAAGCAUUGUAACCCAACGAGUGGGGAGUUUGAUUUGGUCGGGACAAAUCAAACGAUCUGCGGGGGUAGUGACAAUGUCGGGGUGUGGAUGCAGGUUGAUCCAUGCCCGUUGCUACCUUGUGACUCGAUGAGAUUUAUCAAUUGUUGGGGCGAUGUCAGGUUGUUUGGUCAGUUUGACGCUUAACUGGUAUCUUCAUGAGGCCUGCACUAUCGGUCCGAUUGUAUGGCAUAAUAUCGUUUGAUUGUUGCAUGACGAUCGGAUUGUUGGUGUAACCGAUGACAUGAUUUUGCUUGUUAGUCUUAAAAACUGUGGAUGACAAUUUGACAUCGUUUCGUAUGUUGAUGAAUGUUGUCGAAUGGUUAUGCGAAGGUUUCCCGAUUUGAUGCGUUGUUGGUGAUUACAUUCGUCUUGAGGUGAUGCGGUGUCAUGUUGCCUGUGUAUCCUGGUUUUGAGCUCUUUGAGCUUAAAACAUGUGGAUUAUCGGUCAGUGAUACGGCAUCGCUCCCUUGGUGGAUGAAAGUCGUCCAACGAUGCUGUGGUUUGUUGGUUUUCUUCUCGCAUCGCUCGGUGCAUUCUGGGGUCAUUUUGGCUGUUGGUAGCUUGCUUGGCAAUUGAGCUUGGCGGGUUGCUACUGGUUGAGUGUCUUCGGGGAUGUCUACCGUAAAGGUGCAUGAGUGGUGUUUGGUUUGUUACGGGUGGUUGGCUCUUUGCUUGCGCAACAACUUCCACCUGGCAUACCUUUUCAGUCUUGUGUCAAUGCUUGUAUAGCAUUGAAUGCACGGUGGGUUUCUUGUGUUGCAUGCCUAAUAAAUGGUAUCGUUUGAUGAAUUGGUUUCCUUUCGUCUUGCAUCGCCUAUGCGAUGUGAGAUGAACCUUGAAGCAGCCUUUGUGAUCCACUCUUUGGAUGCAAACGCAUYGAUUUUGUGGCCCAUUGAGUGUUGCUUGGUCUCGUGGAUAUGGAACCUGGUGUGGGCAUGGAAUCCUAAUGGUUCCUUGUUUGCCCAAGUUUUAGCUUUCCUAAAACGAUGGUCU
rnacentral:misc_RNA from 1 species